rnacentral:tRNA from 1 species
GGGGCUGUAGCUCAGCUGGGAGAGCGUUUGACUGGCAGUCAAAAGGUCGAGGGUUCGAUCCCCUCCAGCUCCACCA